CGCGGCCUAUCAGCUUGUUGGUGGGGUAACGGCCUACCAAGGCGACGACGGGUAGCCGGCCUGAGAGGGCGACCGGCCACACUGGGACUGAGACACGGCCCAGACUCCUACGGGAGGCAGCAGUGGGGAAUGUUGCACAAUGGGCGCAAGCCUGAUGCAGCAACGCCGCGUGAGGGACGACGGCCUUCGGGUUGUAAACCUCUUUUAGUAGGGAAGAAGCGAAAGUGACGGUACCUGCAGAAAAAGCACCGGCUAACUACGUGCCAGCAGCCGCGGUAAUACGUAGGGUGCAAGCGUUAUCCGGAAUUAUUGGGCGUAAAGAGCUCGUAGGCGGUUUGUCGCGUCUGCUGUGAAAACUGGAGGCUCAACCUCCAGCCUGCAGUGGGUACGGGCAAACUAGAGUGCGGUAGGGGAGAUUGGAAUUCCUGGUGUAGCGGUGGAAUGCGCAGAUAUCAGGAGGAACACCGAUGGCGAAGGCAGAUCUCUGGGCCGUAACUGACGCUGAGGAGCGAAAGCAUGGGGAGCGAACAGGAUUAGAUACCCUGGUAGUCCAUGCCGUAAACGUUGGGCGCUAGAUGUGGGGACCAUUCCACGGUUUCCGUGUCGCAGCUAACGCAUUAAGCGCCCCGCCUGGGGAGUACGG
rnacentral:rRNA from 1 species